rnacentral:rRNA from 1 species
CCUACGGGUGGCAGCAGUGAGGAAUAUUGGUCAAUGGACGAGAGUCUGAACCAGCCAAGUAGCGUGAAGGAUGACUGCCCUAUGGGUUGUAAACUUCUUUUAUAUGGGAAUAAAAUGUUCCACGUGUGGGAUUUUGUAUGUACCAUAUGAAUAAGGAUCGGCUAACUCCGUGCCAGCAGCCGCGGUAAUACGGAGGAUCCGAGCGUUAUCCGGAUUUAUUGGGUUUAAAGGGAGCGUAGGUGGAUUGUUAAGUCAGUUGUGAAAGUUUGCGGCUCAACCGUAAAAUUGCAGUUGAGACUGGCAGUCUUGAGUACAGUAGAGGUGGGCGGAAUUCGUGGUGUAGCGGUGAAAUGCUUAGAUAUCACGAAGAACUCCGAUUGCGAAGGCAGUUCACUGAACUGCAACUGACACUGAGGCUCGGAAGUGUGGGUAUCAAACAGGAUUAGAUACCCCAGUAGUC